UUGUGGGUUUGGGAAGAAAUGCAUGUUCAGUUAUCCAUGGCCCCACCCUCGAGGUGCCUUGGAGCUCAGCCUCUCUGUUGCUUCUGUGUCAUGUGUAGGGCAAAGAGGUUAUUGAUGAAGCUAAGAACUUGUUUUCCAUGGUUCCACACCGUGCAUAACCCUUCUUAGAAGGCCUGCUGCCUUCCUGGUUGUUCUGACAGAAUGAAGACCUUGGAUUCCUAUUUAUUGAUGUUCUCGGGCAUACAGUUUUCUAUCUCUCCACUUCUCCUCAGCCCAGAAGGUUUGGCAGCUAAUGCCCCUCCCCACCAAAGAAAAGAGGAGAGGAGAAGGAAUCAUGCUCUUACUCUAUUUUCCAAGGCUCUGCCUCUCCCCAGACUCCCUGGCUGGUGGGAACUGGAGCCACCAAAGAGGCCCCAUCUGACAGGGGGUGUCGGGGGACAGAAGAGCCUGCCCAGCGGUAAGACAUUUGGGAUGGGCUAUGGACCCUGCAGAAGCAGUUGGGGAAACAGCCAGCAAAAUGUGGAUAAUUAUUAUUCAGAAGUCACAAUCUAUGUCCAUAGACUGGGGAGGCCUAGACACAUAAGAACUACACUUGAGAAAAACUCAAAAAUCUAAGAAGCUCAGAAUCUUUGAAUUUUUAAAUAUAGAAACUUGUGGUUAACCUGGAAAAAAUUACAUUUGGGUGGAAUUGAGGCUCCCCUUCAUGUUUCUGUGGCCCGUUGAAUUUGCUUCCCACUCCUUUAUGCAAAGCAUGCUGAGUUAAUUUAUGUGUGUUGCCUUCUUUCCAGCUUUCCUCAGAUGGGACACUUGAAAACUGUGUGGCAGGUUUAUUUGCUUAAACCUUUCCCGUGGACGAGCCCGCCCACCACAUCUGGGGAAGGGUUUAUGCCUUGGGAGGAGUGCUUCGGCCCCAGCUAAGUAGAAAAAGGCUAUCAGCCACCCCCAUGAGCCAUUCCAGAGACACCGAGGAACUGUUGUUCUUGGGGCUUGGGUCCCCAUGUCCUUCUCAAAAAUGUGCUGGAAACCACAGGGAUGCCUGGAGAAUGGCCCAGAAUGUGUGGAACGUAGGGCCCAGGAUUCUGUAACC
rnacentral:lncRNA from 1 species